GGGCUGGUCGAAGUCCGCGUGACGGGUCAGAGCUAAAUGCAUUCGAGGACCUGCCCCAAGACGUGGGGGAUAACGCUAUGGGAAAUCUUAGGACUAAUCACCGCAUACGUCGUACGGGAGAAAGCGGGGGAUCUUCGUGACCUCGCGCGGUUGGAUGGACCGAUGUUCGAUGAGAUAGUCGGCGGGCUAAUGGCCCACCAAGGCGACGAUCGACAGAUGGUGUGAGAGGAUGAUCACCCACACUGGGAGUGAGACACGGCCCAGACUCCUACGAGACGCCCCAGAGUCGAAUAUUAGACAAUGGGCGCGAGCCUGAUCCAGCAAUGCCGCGCGUGUGAAGAAGACCUUCGGGUUGUCAAGCA
rnacentral:rRNA from 1 species